UACGUAGGGGGCAAGCGUUGUCCGGAAUUAUUGGGCGUAAAGCGCGCGCAGGCGGUUCUUUAAGUCUGAUGUGAAAGCCCCCGGCUCAACCGGGGAGGGUCAUUGGAAACUGGGGAACUUGAGUGCAGAAGAGAAGAGCGGAAUUCCACGUGUAGCGGUGAAAUGCGUAGAGAUGUGGAGGAACACCAGUGGCGAAGGCGGCUCUUUGGUCUGUAACUGACGCUGAGGCGCGAAAGCGUGGGGAGCAAACAGG
rnacentral:rRNA from 1 species